CCGGCUUUAGCUCAGUUGGUAGAGCGGAGGACUGUAGAUCCUUAGGUCGCUGGUUCGAAUCCGGCAAGCCGGACC
rnacentral:tRNA from 1 species